rnacentral:snoRNA from 1 species
GGGACUUUUUUGUUCAACCUGUUGACAGACUUAUAGAUAGGUGCAAAAAAUAAAUCUUGUUUUGCAACCCAGAACUCAUUGCACAGUGUGAGUUUUGAGUAUGACUAUGGUGAAAAAAA